UACGUAGGGUGCGAGCGUUGUCCGGAAUUACUGGGCGUAAAGAGCUCGUAGGUGGUUUGUCGCGUUGUUCGUGAAAACUCACAGCUCAACUGUGGGCGUGCGGGCGAUACGGGCAGACUGGAGUACUGCAGGGGAGACUGGAAUUCCUGGUGUAGCGGUGAAAUGCGCAGAUAUCAGGAGGAACACCAGUGGCGAAGGCGGUGCUCUGGGCCGGAACUGACGCUGAGGAGCGAAAGCGUGGGGAGCAAACAGG
rnacentral:rRNA from 1 species